AUGGUAGUGGACACUAUUGAUUAUGUUGGCAACAUAACAAUGUCUGUUUUGCAGUUGCCAUUCCAAAAUGAACUGGUACUCUGGCAAGUCCUGGGUCAAGUGUAUGUGAUCUUUAUGGCUGUCCUUCAGACUCUAACCCAACUUAAGAAGAUCUUUAGAUUCGUGGUUCCCCUUAAGGCAGAGAAGAUUAUGGCUAUUGAUAACAACCUAGAACACAUGAUUAAGGCUGUGUUUGAGCAAUUGAUUAAGGAAAAAGGGCUAGAUCUGGUUAUGGGCAAGGACAAUGGGCAAACAGAGAAUGUACCUCAGGAAAACGAUGACAAUGAGAACAUGGCUAUUGGUGAACCUGAGAAAAUCUGUCCUUUAAAAGAGGUCACCGAACUGUCCAGUAAUGCUGGUGUGAUACACUCCAAAGCCCAUAGACAAUUCUCCCCACAGGAACUUGAAUCCAUAAAGUGCUGUUUCCCUAAGUUUGUAGAAAAUCCCUUAAAAUCUCAGAAGGAGCUUAAACGGGCUUUCAGGAUCUUUGAUCCGGAUUUCGAAGAUGUUGAGUUUCUGUUAUCAGAACUGUUCAGCCCCCAUGAACAGAGGCAAUUCUUGGAGACGACAAGAUCUGACAGCAAUUUGACUAGCUGGCCAACUGUAAAGCAAAGGGUGGAUAUGGACUUUGCUAAUCCAACUUGCAUGUCCUACCUGAGGAAGUGUAGGAAGGACUUGCUUCAGGCCAUAAAACUAUGCUGUUUAAAACCUACUGCAUGGGCUAAAUUUGACAAGAUCAUGCAGGAAAAAGGGGAACAUCCUGCCACAUACAUAGACUGUCUGUCAGAGAUGGCAGAUUCAAUCUUAGGUCUAGAAGCUGAUAGCAAGGAAUUGGCUGGCCAUGUCCGUAGGCAAUUUCUAAGGGGUUGUACGCCUAAUUUAAAAACAUUUUUCAAACACUAUUUCCCCAAAUAUGAUUCAGUUUCUCUGAUUGAAUUGAGAGAGUCAGCAAGUUACCUACAUGAGAAUAAUUCUGAACAAAGUAAACAAGUUCAGGACCUUAAGGAAAAAUUGGAAAGGACAGAGAAUAAUCUUAAACAAAAGGAGAUUGAAGAAAUCAAAAACCUAAACACAAUUAGGACUUGCACAACAUCUAGUCACAAGAUGCCUAGUUACAAGGACAGAUCAGUGCAGAGAGAAACUAGGGAAUGUUUCUUUUGUCACAGGAAAGGUCACUUGAUUAGAAAUUGUUUUUUAAAGAAGAAACAUGAGGUUAACAAUAAGAACACACAAAAUGCACAAACUAGGUACAAGAAGUCCACUUGUUGUUUACACUGCAAAUUGAAGUCCUCAAAACAAGCUAAUGAUUUGCAAGAAAUGCAAAAUGUAAUUAACUCUGGAGCUAAGCCUAAAUACUCUGAUAUGGUUAGGAAAGAGUUAUGA
rnacentral:lncRNA from 1 species